GGUGCUUGCACCUUUCAAGCGAGUGGCGAACGGGUGAGUAACACGUGGAUAACCUGCCUCAAGGCUGGGGAUAACAUUUGGAAACAGAUGCUAAUACCGAAUAAAACUUAGUAUCGCAUGAUACAAAGUUGAAAGGCGCUACGGCGUCACCUAGAGAUGGGUCCGCGGUGCAUUAGUUAGUUGGUGGGGUAAAGGCCUACCAAGACAAUGAUGCAUAGCCGAGUUGAGAGACUGAUCGGCCACAUUGGGACUGAGACACGGCCCAAACUCCUACGGGAGGCUGCAGUAGGGAAUCUUCCACAAUGGGCGAAAGCCUGAUGGAGCAACGCCGCGUGUGUGAUGAAGGCUUUAGGGUCGUAAAGCACUGUUGUAUGGGAAGAAAUGCUAGAAUAGGGAAUGAUUCUAGUUCGACGGUACCAUACCAGAAAGGGACGGCUAAAUACGUGCCAGCAGCCGCGGUAAUACGUAUGUCCCGAGCGUUAUCCGGAUUUAUUGGGCGUAAAGCGAGCGCAGACGGUUGAUUAAGUCUGAUGUGAAAGCCCGGAGCUCAACUCCGGAAUGGCAUUGGAAACUGGUUAACUUGAGUGUUGUAGAGGUAAGUGGAACUCCAUGGGGUAGC
rnacentral:rRNA from 1 species